AAGCUACUGGCACCGAUACCAUCAGCCCUCCAGAAGCUACUGGCACCGAUACCAUCAGACCUCCAGAAGCUACUGGCACCGAUACCACCAAACCUCCAGAAGCUACUGGCACCGAUACCAUCAGAGCCCCAGAAGCUAUUGGCACCGAUACCAUCAGACCUCCAGAAGCUACUGGCACCGAUACCACCAGACCUCCAGAAGCUACUGGCACCGAUACAACAGGCUCAUCAGAAGCCACAAGACCCCAGGGCCAGAAGGCCAAAAAAAGACACAGAAAUCUAGUCCAACAGAGGGGAGCCAGCAAGAUGAAGCAAAAAAAAAAGUAUGAGUGUCCAGAAUGCUGUAGGAGAGCCAGGGAAAACAACUUUGACUACUCCAAGAUUUUGAAAAGAAGAGUGAGAGAGGGAACAGAUGAGGUCCUCAUUCAUUGGGUUCCAUGCAAGACCUGUGGGACCAAAUGGAAAGACUCCUGGGAGCCCGCCUCCCUUCUUGAAGAAUGAAUUUUAAAACUUUUAAAUUAAUUUUAAAAUAAGUUGGUAGUAUGAUGAUUUAUUAAACAGGUUUGAAUUUUUAAAAACAUCCAUGUGAAAACUACAAACAUAAACAGAGUUAUUUGCUUGUUCUUCAUUGCCUAAAAUGUGCUAUAUAGAUAGAGAUCUUUAGAAAUAACCUGAAUAAAAAUCGUGUUAAAUGUUAAUUUUGUAUGCAUCAUUAUUGGACAUGUUAUGUCAAUUAUCUGGUCUUUCAUUCUCUCUUUACAUAUUUAAUGUUGCAUGUGUUGCAUUUAAAACUUGAAUAUGUUACUGCUUAAUAUGAAAUUGAUUCCAUCUGCAAGGAAGAGCAAUUUAGCUGUCCUGCCUGCACCCCAGCAAACAUUACGGUUUAAAGUGUAUUGCAAGGUCAUGCAUUUGUUGUGUGGAUUGGUUGGCAGCCAGAGAUAAUUCCCACAGAUCCAGCAAUAAGGUGGAUGAGGAGGGACUGGAGUUGACAUUCUGCAGGCAUAUUGUGUCGCUGGCUUCCCUUAAUAUGUUUUGGGGCAAAUCAUUUUUGUGUACCUCAUGUUUUUGCAGCUUCAGCUUGCUUCCAUGCAUGGCAUCACCCUUUAUUUGUAUGGACAUUGCCUGCAAAUACUGGCCAUACCUACAAAGACUUUGUUCUGACUGUCCAGAGCUCCAGCCCCUUCAGAACAUGAGGCCCUUCUUGUCAGUUGGACAUGCUAAAAGCCAUGACUUCAAAUAGAGGUUGGUGUUGUGCAGUACAUUAUCUAAUGGCUUGCAAUACUAAAAAUGAUCUUUAACUGUCAUUACACUGAAUAACUGAUAUCUACGUCUGUCAAAGAGGUUAUGUUUUUACCUGUGUUUGUGUAUUUGCAAGCAGGAUUACUUCUAACUUGGUGGAUGGGUGAGACAUGGUCCAGGAAGGAACCAAUUAUAUUUUGUGGCAGUUUGUAAUUUGAUUAGGCUUUUAUAUGAAUUUAAAAGUGAUGUAGUUGGAGACAUUUGCUUUACUGUAUGGAGGCCAUUACAAUGAUGCACCCAACUGAUUUAAUAUUGACAUAUAAUUACAUAUAAAUAGAAAGAGACCUGUUUCAAUUUCCAAGAAACAAAUGUUUUAUACAAACUGAAAAGGAUUGAAAGGAAUAACCUGUAUUAUGAAUAUAAAGUGAUCAGAUGACAUAUCAAAUAUUGGUUCAUACACUAAAAAUAAUUUUGCUUGUCAUUUUAGACUUCUAUACAGAUCUACUUUGGGACCUGAAAACCCUGAAAGCUGUCCUUCAACUGGAAAUGAGAGAAUGGGCAAAUGGUUUGGGUGACUUGACAGAGGAUGCUACAUAUGGGCUCAACAGUCUUCUCAGUCAGAGGUGUCACUCACCCAGAAGUCAACACAAAUGGGAUGUAGUCAAGUCAAGUCACCUUUAUUUAUAUAGCGCUUUUUACAAUGCAGAUUGUAUCAAAGCAGCUUUACAUUGAUAACUGGUACAUAAUUUUGGCUGCACAGCAGCUCUUAAAGAAUAGUGUCAAUGCAGGCAGAUCAGAAGCACUGUUGAAUAAAUGUCAAGAAUACUGUUGAAUGUCAAAUGUCAAGUCUCCAGAAUGUAAAUGCAAACAGCAGUAUAGCCACUUUUGAGGACUUGCAACUUGCCUUUAUAUUAAACAGCCUUUUUUAUGAAGUGAUUUACUGUAUAAGGGGCUUGUCAUUUCAAACCUAACUGUUGGAAAAUGGUGCACUUUGUUUUUUACACUUCAAACCAAAGCUAAUAAGUGUUUUCACCCAUAUCUUAGAGAUAAUCAAGACCAACAUA